UAAAAAAAAAAAAAGUCAUAUAAUCAAAUUUCAUUUCUCUCGCUGACUCCAGUUGAAACCAUCCCAGACGUGAAACAUGUCGUUCGACGGGAGCGUUAGCGGCGGCGGGGCUAACGCCAUCGGUGUAACCAAUAAGCCUUUCUUUUGUUAUUUAUGUAACCGUACCGUCGCCGUAACGAUCUCCCCUUCCUCUGGCCCCUCAUGUCCCAUAUGCAACGAGGGCUUCCUCGAGGAAUGCGAAAACCAUAACCCUAAUCUAGGCUCUGCCUUCCAAAAUCCAAACCCGAACCCAUUCGCCGACCCCUAUAUGUCGUUAUCGGAUCCAUUUUCCUCCUUCCUCCCGCUCCGUUUCCUUUCCUCUUCUUCCUCAACGACUUCGUCAUCCUCUGCUUCUAUUGACCUUCAUAACCCUAGACUAUACGGGUCGCCCCGGCCAGGCCGAGGUGAUCCUUUCGGUUUCGAUGCGUUUACCUUCAUCCAAAAUCAUCUCAACGAUCUCCGUUCGAGCGGGGCGCAAAUCGAGUUCGUGAUCCAGAACAAUCCGUCUGAGCCGGGCUUUAGGCUUCCAGCAAACAUCGGGAAUUAUUUCAUUGGACCUGGCCUCGAGCAACUGAUCCAACAGCUGGCCGAAAACGACCCUAACCGGUAUGGGACCCCACCUGCAUCGAAAUCAGCCAUUGACUCACUACCUUCGGUGAAGAUAAGGAAGAAUCACUUGAAUUCGGAGUUCAACCAGUGCGCAGUUUGCAUGGAUGAGUUCGAGGAAGGGACUCAAGCAAAGCAGAUGCCCUGUAAGCAUCUUUAUCAUAAGGAUUGCAUAUUUCCGUGGCUGGAAUUGCAUAAUUCGUGCCCUGUGUGUCGUCACGAGUUGCCCACGGAUGAUCCUGAUUAUGAGAGGAGGGCUCGUGGGGCACAGGGGACUAGUGGAGGUAAUGAUGGUGAUGGUAGUAGUGGGGCUGAUAAUGUGCAGAGGUCUGCAGGGGAUAAUCGGGCGGCCGAGAGAAGUUUUAGGAUAUCGCUGCCUUGGCCAUUUCGGUCUCGUGGGUCGGGUUCGGGAUCAGGUGAUAAUGCGGAGGCCAGGCAAGAAGAUUUGGAUUGAGAAUUGCCUUUGGUCCAUUGUUGGGCAUAGCAAAAUCAUGCAGGAUUUUGGAGAAGAUAAUGAGAAUGCCUGCUAGGCAUGACACAAUAUCGAAUUUCCAUCCAUGUGAUGAUGCUCUUUUAGAGUCCUUGAAAUGCAGCAAAAAAUCAGCAUUUCUUUCAUGAGGACAUGGUGAUUAAACAGCCUCUUCCAAAGUUGGGAAGCGGAGUUAUGUGUGAACAUGGAGAACUAAGAUUAGUGUGGUUACUUUUGAAGAAAGUUUUAGUUUUAUUAUAUGUACAUCUGAAAUUUUUUACAGCUUUGUUUGUUAAUUACAGCUUCAUUUACUCUUUCAUACAUUGUUGUAUAGAUUCUCUGGUCCUUGUCCAAUUUAUCAGCAAACUAUUACGAUAUGAAAAUAAAACAACUUGUUCCAAA